rnacentral:lncRNA from 1 species
GGUGCAGAGCGCCUGCCCGUGCCCUCCGGGAGGAGGAGGAGGAGGAGCCGCCGCCUCAGGGACCCCGGCCUCGGGCCCGGCCAGGCAUCCCCACCAGCCACCUCUACAGCGGCACCAAAUUCUCGUAGGCAAGGCCUACGAGGUGGAGGUGGUCGUCCAGAAUUGACACAAGGGCCAGCAUCUGGAAGGGCGGCGACGGCGGGGCUGCAGGCGUCAACAACGGCAGUGGACAGAACCGGGGCAGUGUCCUGUGCGGCGAGGGCAAGCACCGCACCAGCGUUGAGAAGGGCUGGGAGCCUCUUCGUCAGGUGGUCUUCCCCACGCCCCCCCCCCACACCUCCUGUUUAGAUUUACCCUAGGCAGAAUAAAUGUAACCCCAGUUAUUUAGAGAAACCA